rnacentral:snoRNA from 1 species
GGCUGAUGAUUAUAUCUACUUGUAUUUGCUACUCUUGAGUGUCUCAAUGACGAUACCUAUUCCACCAAGAUCGCUGAAGCC